rnacentral:rRNA from 1 species
UACGAACUGUGCAAACGUUAUUCGGAAUUACUGGGCUUAAAGGGUGCGCAGGCGGUCUGUUAAGCAGGGUGUGAAAGCCCCCGGCCCAACCGGGGAACUGCGCCCUGAACUGGCAGGCUUGAGUGAGAUAGGGGUGUGCGGAACUUCCGGUGGAGCGGUGAAAUGCGUUGAUAUCGGAAGGAACGCCAGAGGCGAAAGCUGCACACUGGGUCUCAACUGACGCUGAGGCACGAAAGCCAGGGGAGCAAACGGG